AUAAGAGUGCCUAAAAAAUAAAAUCUGGUUUCAAAAGUGGUGAUUUAGAAAUCUAGGGUUUUCGCUAUUUCCUUUUUCAAAAUUCAAAUCCUUCUGCAACGAAAAAUGUCAGAAUUCAGAAUCAUGGCAUGCCAUAUCCACUCUCUAUCAACGAAGAAGGGAAGAAGAGGGGGUGAUACGCAAAUAAAUUUUCCCGAUUUCAGAUAAUACUCCAAAUCAAAUUGUACAAUUUGUUUAGAAACGAGCUUGUAUUGACUCAAUCAUGGAAUGUCUGUGCUUUCAUGAUCAAAAACCAUGAAAUGUCUUCGUGUGGGUGGAAUGAAAAACGGGAGCAAUUAGAGUAUGCUGGCCGUGUCUUAAUUGCUUCAAUCAUGGAGGAGUAUGACAUAGGUUCAUGGGAAGAACUUAUCGACCUAAUUGAGUGGAUGCAAUGAUGUCAAUUUCUCAUGUCUUCAUGGCAUGCCAUAACCCAAAAUGGGUCCUGCAAGUGAACUAGACUGUGUUGUUAGGGAGGUAUGUGGAUGGUUGAGUGAAAAAGCCGAAUUACCCGUAUGGGGUAGGAAGACGGUGAAAGUCACUAACAUUACACAGAUGGAAAAGAAAGACUCAUGGAAUGGUUGAAUGCGAAUACCAUCCUGUAUGGGUAAAAAUGGCACGGCACGUCGCUAACAUCUUACAGUGUUCUAGCUACCUGUGGUGUCUUAUAUAACCUGCGAUAAUGGCCCUGAGGACUAGAUGCAAAUGGGUUGCUGCUAUUAACACAAUCAUGGGUGUCAUGGGCUUCAAUUACUAGCGACUAGUAUACAUACCACGCCAACUUGGAACCUGGAAAGGGGAAUUUUCCCGUAGGCUCAUUAAGAAUUUCCUCUGGCACGACUCGGCUAAUGGAAAGAAACAUCAUUGAGUGGGCUGGCAACGUGCGUGUCAACCAAUUUAUGAGGGGUCUAGCUAUAAGAAGCCUUAAAAAGUUGAACAGAAGUUUGCUUAUGAAGUGGUGUUGGCGCUUGGGUAAGGAGGACAAUGCUUUGUGUAUUGUGGUCAAUUAUUAAUAUAUUAUAGAGGAAUAUGGUUUCUGACUACUGCUGGAGAACUAAGGAGGCUAAAAAUCCUUACGGUGCUCAGCGUUUGGAAGCAUAUUGGAGCUGUCGAAGAGGAAUUCUAUUCGAACUUUCACUUCAAGAUUGGUAAAGGAUACAAGGUUCGUCUUUUGGAAGAUAAUGGUGCAGUCAGGGAAAUAUGCAAAGUUCUCUGUCCCCUAUAAACUUCCGCAGAGUAAACAUCUCUCUUUUUUGCAACUGUAUAACGCAUCUGCAGAUGGUCUAGCCUGAGAUUUAGGUCAGGCAACUGUAUAACGCAUCCCACAGAAGAUUUUCUGAUGUGGAAAUUGCAGAACUUUGUACCUUUGCGCCAUUGUGUUUCAUCUUGCUGAAAAUGAUCACUGGUGUGCACUGUGCACAAGUCAGGCAACUUAAAAGCUGAAUUUCAUACUUGGCAGGUUCUUCUACUACUUCUGGCACUUAGGAUUUUCCAUCUCGUAAAACGUGGUGUAGAUUCUGACCUCAGAAGGUGGCCUUCUUUCUUUGGGAAAAUGCUCCAAAUAGGCUGCCAACAAUGGUCCAUCUCCAAAAGCGCAACUCUAGUUUAGUUACUUGUAGUGGGAAUCAGGCUAUUUAUUUCUGCUGCCUCUGUAAUCCAUUGCUGAGUCAGCCACAUUUCCGCUCAUGCUCUUUCUCCAGGCAGAUUCGAUGUUUCUUCUUCAAAGGUGAAGGUAUUGCUAUGAACCUUCAGGGUACUAUAUACUAUGGAACUAAUGAGGAACUGGUCCUCCUUGUCACUCUUGCCGUGGUAAAGAAAUUGAGACCCCCUGCUGCUAUUAUGUGGUUCAUCAGGCUCGAAUGUAAUGCUCAUACUUUGAACUGCCAAGAGAAAUAAUUCGAGGAAAUUGUUACUGAGAUAAAAAUCAAGGUGUUUCUGUGGACUUCCAAGGCUACUUAUUCUUCAAACCCCCUGUGCUGCUUAGUUUUCGUUGGCUGCUUCCGUAUCUUUUAUAAAAUUUAUUCUUUAUCGAGCAAAUAGAAGUAUACGAUCCGACUCUUUAUCGAGCAAAUAGAAGUAUACGAUCCGACGACGCCAUGUGGUGAAAGGAAUUCCACUCACUGCGAUGGCUAUUCUUGGAAGGAAGUUCACCCAAUUGUGCUUGGAAAGCUCAUGAGCGCUGCCCAAUUGAUGAAAUCGGGAAAAUUUAGUGACAAGGAUUACUCACUUUCUAGCAUUUGCUUGUUCAGCAAACACUUUUACUAGUAUUCAUUUGAUUAAAAUUUUGACAGUGAAUUCCAUUUGGUUUGGUUUUGAGUCUUGUGACAAGGAUUACUCACUUUCUAAUAUUUUUUUUCUUGCUUGUUCAAAAACAACUUUGAUCAAAAAGAAAAAAAAAAUUAUAGAAAACACGCUACUUACUCGCUAUUUGCGUGUUUUUAACAAACACUUAGCUUGACAGGUUCUUUGUCCCAAGUAAUUGACAUGUCCAGGUAGGAGUAUGCACGAGCAUGUAUCCAAAAGCAUGUGCACCUGGAAAUUACUAAUUUGAUGUGGAGAGAGUUGCAGUGGUGAAUUAAGUAAAGCUGUAGGUUUCUUCUGCACAACAGCUUGAAUCAAUGGCUGUGUCUACCUUCAACCCCAGUUUCUGCUCUCUUCCUUCCCAUCACAAUGAACAGGGUGUGUUGAAUGGAAUUCCUGGCAAGGGGUUCGGAUUUACCAAGAAGUUGUUUCCAUCUGAGUUUCCUAAGAGUUUCCAAUUGCGUUGCACUAAUGAUAAAAGAGAUCAUAUGGAUGUUAAAACAUCAGCUUUGGCUGAGAGUAUCUCUGAAUGUUUUGAUGAUGUGGAAGUGAAUGUUAUGGAACCUAGUGUUUCAACAACUAUAAUGAAUUUCGAGAACAAAUUAGAUCCUUUUGGUGCUUCUAGUACUCCUAUUUAUCAAACAGCUACAUUUAAACAGCCUUGUGGAACAGAAUAUGGUCCUUAUGACUAUAGUAGAAGUGCAAAUCCUACACGGGACAUGUUGGAAAGGCUCUUAGCCAAGCUUGAUAAGGCAGAUCGCGCAUUUUGCUUUUCUACUGGAAUGGCAGCUUUGGCUGCUGUGACCCAUCUUGUUGGAAGUGGCCAAGAAGUUGUUUCUGGAAAUGACAUGUAUGGUGGUUCGGAUCGAUUGCUUUCACAAGUACUUCCAGGGAGAGGAGUAGUAGUAAAGCGAGUGGAUAUGACUGAUCUAAGUGCAGUUGCAGCUGCCAUCGGUCCCUGGACAAAGCUAGUGUGGUUGGAGAGUCCAACUAACCCCCGGCUUCAAAUUUCUGAUAUAAGGAAAAUAGCGGAGAUUGCUCAUGCAAAUGGUGCCAUUGUGCUGGUGGAUAACAGUAUAAUGUCCUCUGUGUUGUCUCAGCCAUUAGAGCUUGGAGCAGAUAUUGUGAUGCACUCAGCUACCAAGUUUAUAUCUGGGCAUGCUGAUGUCAUGGCAGGAGUCCUUGCUGUGAAAGGAGAAAGCUUAGCAAAAGAAAUAGCUUUCCUGCAAAAUGCUGAAGGGGCAGUUUUAGCUCCAUUUGACUGCUGGAUUUGCUUACGGGGAAUUAAAACCAUGGCUUUACGCGUUGAAAAGCAGCAGGAGAACGCUCAAAAAAUUGCUGAAUAUCUUGCUUCUAAUCCUCGGGUGAAGAAAGUCAACUAUGCUGGUCUCCCUGACCAUCCUGGACGUGCUCUACACUAUUCUCAGGUUUUUCCUUUUUCAGGCAAAGGGAGCCGGUUCUGUGCUUAGCUUUGUGACGGGGUCAGUAGCACUCUCAAAACAUAUCGUGGAAACUACCAAGUACUUCAACAUAACAGUCAGUUUUGGGAGUGUGAAGUCUCUCAUUAGCUUGCCCUGCUUCAUGUCCCAUUCAGUUAUACCUGCUGCAGAUCGUGAAGCCAGGGGUUUGACUGAAGAUCUCAUUCGCAUAUCCGUGGGCAUUGAGGAUGUAAAUGAUUUAAUUGAUGACUUGGAUUAUGCAAUUAGAACUGGACCUAUAUAAGGAACUGCAGAUUUUACUUCGAGCAUGUAUUUCUUCUGGCUUGUGAUCUACAGUUCAAACAUUUUCGUAUAUGAGAAUGAAUAAAAAAAAUUCUUCUUUGU